GAGUGGCAAACGGGUGAGUAACGCGUGGGCGACCUACCUUCGAGUGGGGGAUAACCUUCCGAAAGGAGGGCUAAUACCGCAUGACAUCCCGUGUUUGGAUACACGGACAUCAAAGUCGGGGAUCGCAAGACCUGACGCUUGGAGAGGGACCUGCGUCCGAUUAGCUAGUUGGUGGGGUAACGGCCCACCAAGGCUUCGAUCGGUAUCCGGCCUGAGAGGGCGGACGGACACACUGGGACUGAGACACGGCCCAGACUCCUACGGGAGGCAGCAGUAGGGAAUUGUUCGCAAUGGGCGCAAGCCUGACGACGCAACGCCGCGUGGAGGAUGAAGACCUUCGGGUCGUAAACUCCUUUCGACCGAGAUGAAUACCCACUGACCUAAUACGUCGGUGGGCUGACAGUAUCGAGGGAAGAAGCCCCGGCUAACUCCGUGCCAGCAGCCGCGGUAAUACGGGGGGGGCAAGCGUUGUUCGGAAUUACUGGGCGUAAAGGGUUCGUAGGUGGCCUGCUAAGUCACACGUGAAAUCCCUCAGCUUAACUGGGGAACUGCGUGUGAGACUGGCGGGCUUGAGUGCAGGAGAGGAACGCGGAAUUCCAGGUGUAGCGGUGAAAUGCGUAGAUAUCUGGAGGAACACCGGUGGCGAAGGCGGCGUUCUGGACUGCUAC
rnacentral:rRNA from 1 species